UGGAAGUAAUUUUCAAAAAGGGGAAGCCAAUCAAAAAUAAUGGCACUUAUUGUUUCUCUUUUGACACACAUUGCUGAGCGGCCUGCCCCUCCCUUGUCCGUCGCUUUCUCUGCCUGUGUAGCCCUAAACCCCAGGGUUCAUUCACGUCUAUUAUACGGACAAAUUAAAUAAAACCCGAAAAGGGUCGGAGGGGAGCGGAGAGCAACGCUGGCCGUCGGUGGUGGUGUUUGAAAGAGACGGGGAAGGGAGGAACACCAUGGAGGGAAGACUGCUGAACCAACAAAGGGCCUGGAGGAGACGACAACUGGAGCACGUGGAACAAACAUUUGGCCCUUUGAGUCCCUUUGUUAAUACGGCAAUGUAAGUACUACCACCCAGAAAGACCACUCAGCGUGCUGUGGCUGAGCACCACCUGUGUCACCACGAGAAACCAGGGGGACACUGGAUUGGUGAAGAGCCACACUGUGCCAGCUGGCAGCAUUGAGGCCAAAAAAGGCGCCCAGAAAAGGCAGUCUGACCCAAGCAUCCGAGCUCUGUCGUACAGCGAUGCUGAGGAGAAGCUGGCAAAAGGGAGGGUGGAAAGCCAGAAGAACAGUAUGUGUGGCAGCAGCAGUAGCAGUGGGAGUAUUCCCAUGUCCUCAGCCCCAGGGGGCCCUCCCUCCAGUUUCAGCCUUCCCAGGACCAGCAGUCCAGAGCAGUGACCAAAGUGAAAGUGGACGUCAACCUGUGCAACAUCUUCCCCUCGGAGCUGGUGAGCCGUGUGAUGGCCAGGAGCCCCCACAUUGCAGACCCCCAGCAGCUGGCAGCUGCUAUACUUGCAGAGAAAGCCCAGACAGGGUACUGAAGAACAAAGGAAAGUGUGAACUCCCGAUAGAAAACAAUAGCAGUCAAGUAGUCUGAGUAAAAAUAGGAAAACACAAACAUCAGAAGAGGAAACUUUGCCUUUGCAACACUUGAAAGCACGUUGGGUUUGCAUGGUGGUAUUUUAAAUACUGGAAUGCUUUUGGAUUGUCUACAUGUUGAGCUUUUUCUUUUCUUAUGACAUUAAUGAGACAAUGUCUAGGUUUCAAGGAUAUGAAAUGCUAAAGAUAAUCCAAAUCCAGCUCUGGUUACUGCACAGGGACAACUAAAUCCACUGAACUUUAUGAAGUGUGGGGAAAGCAAAUCAUUUCAGGAAAUCUUGGACUUUGACACAAAGUGCAACUUCCGCGUCUAAACAAAAAAGUAAUCCUCUGCACUGUAUCUGGAUAUAUUAAAUAUGACGUACAAUGUGUAGUUUGGCAUCAUAUAGGCUACGACGACAGCUAAAGACAAUACUCAUGAGUAGUGUAACAUAGUAGAGUUUAGUAAACAAAUGUAUGUUUUAUCACAAAGUAGCUUGUAGUUAAAUGAUUGUCGCUUGUGUCCCUUGCUGUAUGAUAGCACAGGCCUACUGUACACACUACAUAACCUUACAUGAUUCUGUUGAUAUUUUCUUGCUUAUGGUUUGUUUCAGUAAUUAAUCUCUGCUGUGUAAGAUGUUCAGCAGCAGUUUCCUAAUCUUAGCAAUGGCAAAUAAUUUAGCCAGUGAUUUAAAGAUUGGUGGAUAUAUUGAUAGUUUCUGCAGUGGUUAAUUAACCCAUGUUUGGUCUGUAACUAAUUUCAUAUAUCAGCUGUUCUAGCCUUGUGACUAGUGGAAUAAUUUGGGACAUGCCAUGUUGGUAGAUAGAAAUAAUAAGUGAAGGUACCCACGCUGCGCCAGCUAUGUCGGAGAGGUCUGAGUGUGAGCCAAUGCCAGA